rnacentral:rRNA from 1 species
AUGGCGUCCGCCGCUUGCCACGCCGUGGACUGCCGGUUUCUCCCCGCCAAGUGCCCCACCACGCCGGCCGCCGGUCUCCACGCCGUCGACUGUCACAGUCCUUCGUCGCCGGAUGUGCCCCGCGAAGAGCCCCGCCCCGCGCGAGCCCUCCGCCGCCGGAUGUGCGUCGCCAAGUGCUCCGCCCCGCGCCAGCCCUUCGUCGCCGGAUCCCCGUCCAGCGUUUGCCAGCCCCCCGUCGCUGGAUCUGCGCCGUCAAGAGCCCCUCUGCACGGCACCGCAGCCGGAUCCCGGCCCCGCGGCAGUCCUCCCCCGCCGGUUGUGGCCCCGCCUGGAAUACUCCCACCCAGCAAACCUCCCGUAGCGCCGAGCCGUCUUGCUCAUCGGUGCAGCGUCCAUCGCCCAAGUGUCGGCUCUUCAGAUGUUGUCAAGAACUCCAAUGGCAUUGACAUAGCCAAGCUGAUCAAGCACUCGGCCGAGAACCGCGGGAUCAAGGGCUCCGACAAAAGGCGACGCCGUCGAUCCGACCUCGCUGCUCACGGAAGAGUGCGACAUGCUCAUCCCGGCAGCUCUGGGAGGAGUCAUAAAAAAAUUCUAGCAAAGAAGGGCGUGCUGAUCCUACCGGACAUCAUGGCCAACACCGGCGGAGUGAUGGUGAGCUGCUUCGAGUGGGUGCAGAACAUCCAGGGGUUCAUGUGGGAUGAGGAGAAGGUGAAUCGGGAGCUCAAGACAUACAUGACCCGCGCCUCAAACAUACUUCUGAAUAUUUAG